UAGUGGCGAACGGGUGAGUAACACGUGGGCAAUCUGCCCUUCACUCUGGGACAAGCCCUGGAAACGGGGUCUAAUACCGGAUACGACACGGGGUCGCAUGACCUCCGUGUGGAAAGCUCCGGCGGUGAAGGAUGAGCCCGCGGCCUAUCAGCUUGUUGGUGGGGUGAUGGCCUACCAAGGCGACGACGGGUAGCCGGCCUGAGAGGGCGACCGGCCACACUGGGACUGAGACACGGCCCAGACUCCUACGGGAGGCAGCAGUGGGGAAUAUUGCACAAUGGGCGAAAGCCUGAUGCAGCGACGCCGCGUGAGGGAUGACGGCCUUCGGGUUGUAAACCUCUUUCAGCAGGGAAGAAGCGAGAGUGACGGUACCUGCAGAAGAAGCGCCGGCUAACUACGUGCCAGCAGCCGCGGUAAUACGUAGGGCGCAAGCGUUGUCCGGAAUUAUUGGGCGUAAAGAGCUCGUAGGCGGCUUGUCGCGUCGGAUGUGAAAGCCCGGGGCUUAACCCCGGGUCUGCAUUCGAUACGGGCAGGCUAGAGUUCGGUAGGGGAGAUCGGAAUUCCU
rnacentral:rRNA from 2 species